AUCACUUCUCGAUCUUUUGGCUAAAAUCAAGUGUAGUAUCUGUUCUUAUCAGUUUGACACGUCCUCUAUCUGAGGAUGUAAUAAAAAUAAAAUAAAUAAAAGGAAUCAUGCAAUAUGUGAUCCUCU
ensembl:snRNA U2 U2 spliceosomal RNA